UCCUGCAGGGGAGAGAGGAGGAGGAAGUUUUGGACACAGUCACACACUACAAAGCACGGGAGUCUGGAAGGACCAGGCAAACUGAUCACUGUGGCCAGCCUUUUGGCAGGCUAAGAGCUGCACUGGGCCAGAGAGGCAUCGCCUGUUCUCCCGUGGAAAGGCUGGCAGGACAGCUAGUACAGUGAAAACCAAAAAGACAGUAUAGCAGACUCAACCAGCCCAGCUCAGGAGUGCCCAUGAUGGUAGAGGAUGCACAUCUGGACUGCCUGACUCAGCACACCACUGUGAACAUCCACUCCUGCUCUACUGCAGCCGGCAGAAACCUGAGCUGGGCUGAAGACAGCAGUCGGCUGAGAGCAACCUGGCCUGCUCUCAAGUCCCUGUGUGAGCUGGGUCUCCUCACUCACUCCCAGCUUCCUCAAGCCCUGCUGGGAGGUGGAACCAGCAGCUUCUGCCUCACCCACCUGACAACAGUGUGCCUGGCUUGUAUUCCAUCCUCAACCCUCCAGGGGUCAGCAUCCUCCACAGAGCCCGGUUAAAUGGGCAAAGCUCAAUCGCCAGUCUCAAGCCCCAGUGACACUGUGAUGCCACUGAAGGUCCAUCUCAUCCUGCCAUUAGGCCUGUCUUCACGCCUGAACCGAGCCCUGGGUCUGGCCACUGCAGGCACUCUGCCAACAGUCCACACAGCAACCUGAAGGUGUGUUUGGGGUCAUGACACCCAUGCGAAAACAGGCUCAGAGGAGCAAGUUGACUGAUGUACCUACAAUCUAAGGGUGGACAGCCUUCUUACUGCAGAGCCCAGCGUCCUCCACUAAGCUGCAUUCUCUGGAAUUUAUAGAGACUUACUGGCAGGUUGGCUUCCCAGUACCCCACACGGCAGUCUUGGGCCUGAGUGCUCAUGGAAGUAAAUAGUGCGGGCAGAACUUGGCACUGUGACUCAAGUAUGUGCCAAUCUGAGCCUGCCUGGCAUGAAGCUACCUCCCCUGAGGAUGGUGACUGAACCAAGGCUCUACCCACUUCGGGGCCUCUUGAGGCCUAACACCCAUGACUGCACCCGAGGAAACAUGCAUUUUGUGAAGCCCGCCAUGAGCUGUGACCCUCUGAACCCAUGGUCUCUGCUCUGUCACUCUGUUGCUAGAGACUGCAGGCAAGCCACUCUGCAGUAGCCAGCCUGGCAGGGAUGGAGACACUCUAAUAGACUCUGUCCUUCUCCGUGUUGUCAGACUACUGAAAUAAUGCCCUGGGAUCUCCUGCUGCAGAAAAGCCUACAGCCCGAGCCAACCAGAGGGACUUUUCUCCUGGAAAGAGCUCGGCAACUAGUCAGACCCUGAGGACAGUGGGCUCUGAACAGUGAAGGGUCCAUGGUGGGCAGGAUCCCACCUUGUGCGGGACUGCUGAGGUAUGAACAACUCUGGCCUCUACUUAAACCUGCCCUCGUGGCAUGGCCCCAAAGAUGAACCUGGAGGGCUCACUGGAUCUUUCGACCCUCUUUCCAAUGUGGCUGUGCUGAAUAAAUUGCCUUUUCCUGCUUCUCAUUA